AUACGUAGGGGGCUAGCGUUAUCCGGAUUUACUGGGCGUAAAGUGUGCGUAGGUGGUUUCUUAAGUCAGGAGUGAAAGGCUACGGCUCAACCGUAGUAAGCUCUUGAAACUGGGAAACUUGAGUGCAGGAGAGGAAAGUGGAAUUCCUAGUGUAGCGGUGAAAUGCGUAGAUAUUAGGAGGAACACCAGUGGCGAAGGCGCUUCUCUGGACUGUAACUGACGCUGAGGCUCGAAAGCGUGGGGAGC
rnacentral:rRNA from 1 species